CCUACGGGAGGCAGCAGUAAGGAAUAUUGGUCAAUGGACGCAAGUCUGAACCAGCCAUGCCGCGUGAAGGAUUAAGGUCCUCUGGAUUGUAAACUUCUUUUAUCUGGGACGAAAAAAGGCGAUUCUUCGUCACUUGACGGUACCAGAUGAAUAAGCACCGGCUAACUCCGUGCCAGCAGCCGCGGUAAUACGGAGGGUGCAAGCGUUAUCCGGAUUCACUGGGUUUAAAGGGUGCGUAGGCGGGCAGGUAAGUCAGUGGUGAAAUCCUAGAGCUUAACUCUAGAACUGCCAUUGAUACUAUCUGUCUUGAAUAUUGUGGAGGUAAGCGGAAUAUGUCAUGUAGCGGUGAAAUGCUUAGAUAUGACAUAGAACACCUAUUGCGAAGGCAGCUUACUACGCAUAUAUUGACGCUGAGGCACGAAAGCGUGGGGAUCAAACAGGAUUAGAUACCCUGGUAGUCCACGCCCUAAACGAUGAUUACUCGACAUUUGUGAUACACUAUAAGUGUCUGAGCGAAAGCAUUAAGUAAUCCACCUGGGAAGUACGACCGCAAGGUUGAAACUCAAAGGAAUUAGACGG
rnacentral:rRNA from 1 species